AGAGUUUGAUCAUGGCUCAGAUUGAACGCUGGCGGCAGGCCUAACACAUGCAAGUCGGGCGGUAACAGGGAGAAGCUUGCUUCUCCGCUGACGAGCGGCGGACGGGUGAGUAAUGUAUGGGGAUCUGCCUGAUGGCGGGGGAUAACUACUGGAAACGGUAGCUAAUACCGCAUAAUGUCUACGGACCAAAGCGGGGGACCUCCGGGCCUCGCGCCAUCAGAUGAACCCAUAUGGGAUUAGCUUGUAGGUAAGGUAACGGCUUACCUAGGCGACGAUCCCUAGCUGGUCUGAGAGGAUGAUCAGCCACACUGGGACUGAGACACGGCCCAGACUCCUACGGGAGGCAGCAGUGGGGAAUAUUGCACAAUGGGCGCAAGCCUGAUGCAGCCAUGCCGCGUGUAUGAAGAAGGCCUUCGGGUUGUAAAGUACUUUCAGUCGGGAGGAAGGUGUCAAGGUUAAUAACCUUGGCAAUUGACGUUACCGACAGAAGAAGCACCGGCUAACUCCGUGCCAGCCGCCGCGGUAAUAC
rnacentral:rRNA from 1 species